AGGUUCGUUCGCUCAGAUUGAACGCUGGCGGGAUGCUUUACGCAGCAUACCGCAGUCGAACGGCAGCACGGACUUCGGUCUGGUGGCGAGUGCCAGGAGCGGGUGAGUAAUGUAUCGGAACGUGCCUAGUAGCGGGGGAUAACUACGCGAAAGCGUAGCUAAUACAUACGCCCUUCGGGGGAAAGCGGGGGACCUUCGGGCCUCGCCUGCGUAAGAGCAACCGAUAUCCGGUUAGUUGGUGGGGGUAACGGCUCACCGAGGGCGGCAAUCCGUAGCUGGUUUGAGAGGACGACCAGCCACACUGGGACUGAGACACGGCCCAGACUCCUACGGGAGGCAGCAGUGGGGAAUUUUUGGACAAUAGGGAAACCCUGAUCCAGCCAUCCCGCGGCCGAUGAAGGCCUUCGGUUAUCAACACUUUUGGCAGGGGAAAGAAACGGCACGGGAUAAUACCCGUGCAACUGACAAUACCUGCAGAAUAAGCACCGGCUAACUUCCAUUGCCAGCAGCCGCGGUAAUACGUAGGGUGCAAGCGUUAAUCGGAAUUACUGGGCGUAAAGCGUGCGCAGGCGGUUCGGAAGAAGAUGUGAAAUCCCAGAGCUUAACUUUAGAGCCAUUUUUAACUACCGAGCUGAAAGUGUGUCAGAGGUGGAAUUCCCGUGUAGCGGUGAAAUGCGUAGAUAUGCGGAGGAACACCGAUAGCGAAGGGCAGCCUCCUGGGAUAACACUGACAUCGUCUUUUAGCGUGGGGAGCAAACAGGAUUACGAUGCCCUGGUAGUCCACGCCUAAACGAUGUCAACUAGCUGUUGGGGCCUUCGGGCCUUGGUAGCGCAGCUAACGCGUGAAGUUGACCGCCUGGGAAAUUGAUCGCAAGAUUAAAACUCAAAGGAAUUGACGGGGACCCGCACAAGCAGCGGAUGAUGUGGAUUAAUUCGAUGCAACGCGAAAAACCUUACCUAUGCCAGGCAUAUCUGGAAUCCCGAAGAGAUUUGGGAGUGCUCGCAAGAGAACCGGAACACAGGUGCUGCAUGGCUGUCGUCAGCUCGUGUCGUGAGAUGUUGGGUUAAGUCCCGCAACGAGCGCAACCCUUGUCAUUAGUUGCUACGAAAGGCACUCUAAUGAGACUGCGACAAACCGGAGGAAGGUGGGGAUGACGUCAGAUCCUCGCAUGCGUGCCCUUAUGGGUAGGGCUUCACACGUCAUACAAUGGUCGGGACGAGAGGGUCGCCAACCCGCGAGGGGAGCCAAUCGAGCCCGAUCGUAGUCCCGGAUCGCAGUCUGCAACUCGACUGCGUGAAGUCAGAAUCGCUAGUAAUCGCGGAUCAGCAUGUCGCGGUGAAUACGUUCCCGGGUCUUGUACACACCGCCCGUCACACCAUGGGGUGGUUUACCAGAAGUAGUUAGCCUAACCGUAAGGGCAAUUUACAGGCAAGUUCAUGACUGGGGUGAAGUCGUAACAAGGUAA
rnacentral:rRNA from 1 species